CUUUCCUACGCUAAAAACCACUGAGUGGAGUAUUUAGUACACAGGAAGUCGGCCAGAGAAACAUUUCUCAUAUUUGAAGGCCGGAAAGAGGGACAUUUCUGACACCGGAAGUCAGUGAGAGGACUCUUUCCCACACAGGAAGUCAGCUAGAGAGCCGUCUCCCCUCUCUGGAGCCGAGAGAGGCCGGUUUCCCCCACCGUAGCCCACCUGGGAGGAAUUUUCCAGAGAUCACUGUCUGAUGACCCUGUCUUGGAAUUGGAGCCAUGCAAGUUACACUGACCACGUUUGGGUUGGGAUAUUGAGGAGGUUAUGGUUAAAAGCAUACGAUGGGAGAUCAUAUUGUACUUGCGAGUGAGACCCGGCUGGAGGAAUGUUUUAAUUCUUCGGAAAUACCAAGUGGUCUCUAGAUGGGUUUUCACUAUUUUUCCCAGGCUAGUCUCCAACUUCUGGGCUCAAGCGAUCCACCCGCCUUGGCCUCCUAAGUCCUAGGAUUAUAGGUCUCACAUGAGUACUUCACAAUGGGGAAACUGAACUGGAACUCUACUGACAACGCAGUUGGGAGUUCAAACUUAAUAACCUUCCAGAGUUGGUAUCAAAUUCAGACGCUGACGCUCC
rnacentral:lncRNA from 10 species